GAUGAACGCUGGCGGCGUGCCUAAUACAUGCAAGUCGAGCGAACAGAUGAGGAGCUUGCUCCUCUGACGUUAGCGGCGGACGGGUGAGUAACACGUGGAUAACCUACCUAUAAGACUGGGAUAACUUCGGGAAACCGGAGCUAAUACCGGAUAAUAUAUUGAACCGCAUGGUUCAAUAGUGAAAGACGGUUUUGCUGUCACUUAUAGAUGUAUCCGCGCCGCAUUAGCUAGUUGGUAAGGUAACGGCUUACCAAGGCAACGAUGCGUAGCCGACCUGAGAGGGUGAUCGGCCACACUGGAACUGAGACACGGUCCAGAAUCCUACGGGAGGCAGCAGUAGGGAAUCUUCCGCAAUGGGCGAAAGCGUGAAGGAGCAAAGCCGCGGGAGUGAUGAAGGUCUUCGGAUCGUAAAACUCUGUUAUUAGGGAAGAACAAAUGUGUAAGUAACUAUGCACGUCUUGACGGUACCUAAUCAGAAAGCCACGGCUAACUACGUG
rnacentral:rRNA from 1 species